rnacentral:rRNA from 1 species
UACGUAGGGUGCGAGCGUUUGUCCGGAAUUAUUGGGCGUAAAGAGCUUGUAGGCGGUUUGUCGCGUCUGCUGUGAAAACCCGGGGCUCAACCCCCGGGCCUGCAUUCGAUACGGGCAGACUAGAGUUCGGUAGGGGAGUCUGGAAUUCUUGGUGUAGCGGUGAAAUGCGCAGAUAUCAGGAGGAACACCAGUGGCGAAGGCAGGCUACUGGACAGAAGGUGACGCUGAGGCGCGAAAGUGUGGGGAGCGAACCGG